AGCCUUUUUUCAGACAUUGAAUAGAAACCUCAAUAGAAGUGUUUGCAAUGCCGAGAAGCUCAGCAUCUAGAUCUCCGAGCAGACGUCGGAGCAGAAGCUCCAGAAGUAGAAGCAUCAAGAGAAGUCCAUCACCUGUCAAGCGCGGCUCCCGAUCUCGCUCGCGCAGCAGGCGCAGAACCAGAACACCACCUAGUCCCAGGGGUCGAAGAAGCCGUUCGGGACCAAGAAGAUCGAGAUCGCCCCCUAGAAGAUACGACAACAAGACGAAUGCGCCUCCUAAUAGAUGUAUCGGAGUGUUUGGUCUCAGUCUGUCGACUAGAGAGGAGACUUUGAUCAAGCUGUUCGACAGGUAUCCUGGAUUUGAAAGUGUCAAACUGGUGAAAGAGUUCGCCACUGGACGAUCAAGGGGAUUCGCAUUUAUAACAUACGAAUCAAAAGACGAUGCGGCCUAUGCGAGAGAAAAAUGCAAUGGACAAGAUAUUGAUGGUCACCCUGUAAGAAUUGACUUUUCUGCUAACGAUAUGCGAAAAAGGCCCUUCAGAUCGCCUCCACGGAUUAUUGGGUUCGGAUUUAAGAAUCGGACAUCAGAUGAAAGAAUUAAUCGAAAGAGUUAAUUGAAUAGGCGCUCACACAGUGAGGCAUAGCGCCGAGAGGAAAAUGGCAUCGGAUAAUAUAACGUUCGGCUAAGAACAUCUUCGGAAAGAUGGGAAUUGUGUUUGUUAGAGUACUGUACUUAAAAGGAAAGAGGGAGAGAUAAAGAAAGAGGAGAAAAGAGUAGGGAAAGAAAAGAAAACAUGAGAAUUGUUGGGUGAAAAAGAGUAACGUGGGUGAAAAAGAGUAACGAAAAACCGCUCGUCGUAAUGGUUCCGACGACGAUCUAGGAGCCGAAGCAUUGAGCGUCGAAGAUCCAUCUCGAGAUCACCGCCCAGACGCCGAUACUGAGAGAAGUCACGAAGAGCAUUUCAGAAUCUGAUUUAAGAUGCAGCGACCGGAAACCUAUUUCAGCCAAUGAACUGUUGAGUUUUGUACCGUUAAGAUUUUUGACUUAGUCAUUGUAAAUGUGCAAGUUCAUUUUCUUUUAACUAAAAUCAAUUUGUUGUUCCUUGUAGCAAUAAAGGAAUUCAUUUUG